GACGAACGCUGGCGGCGUGCUUAACACAUGCAAGUCACGGGGGCUCGCAAGAGCAACCGGCGAACGGGUGCGUAACACGUGAGCAACCUGCCGAUCUGAGGGGGAUAGCCGGCCCAACGGCCGGGUAAUACCGCAUACGUUCUCGAGGGGGAGUCCUCUUGAGAAGAAACCUCCGGGGCAGAUCGAGGGGCUCGCGGCCUAUCAGCUAGUUGGUGAGGUAACGGCUCACCAAGGCAUCGACGGGUAGCUGGUCUGAGAGGAUGGCCAGCCACAUUGGGACUGAGAGACGGCCCAGACUCCUACGGGAGGCAGCAGUGGGGAAUCUUGCGCAAUGGCCGAAAGGCUGACGCAGCGACGCCGCGUGUGGGAUGAAGCAUUUCGGUGUGUAAACCACUGUUGCCCGGGACGAACAUCCUCUUUCGAGAGGACUGGACGGUACCGGGUGAGGAAGC
rnacentral:rRNA from 1 species